GGGUGGGUGGUACUCCUGAAAAGCGGAAGGUCGGCGGUUCGACCCCGCCCCUGCCCA
rnacentral:tRNA from 1 species